ACAUGCACAUAUUAAAGUUGUAUUCCAGUCAGUGUCAGUUGUCAGCCGAAGCUGCAAUUCAACAGCUAAAGAGUACAAGAAGAUUUGCUUUCAUUUAAGUCCUUGACUGGGAAAUUCGAAAUUCGCAAAGUGCUUUUUCCCGUCUUGGCUCGUGUUGUGUGUGUCGAGGGUAAUCGGCGACAAUGCAAAGGCAACCUUCAGGUGACAUGAAUGGACAUGCUCUGAAACACCCUUCUUAGCUCAAACAGUGGCACUCACUCGCGUUUGUGUUGCCGAGCAUUUCAUCACUACUCAUGAAGCUCUACCUCUUUGUUUCAUCCGGUCUGCUGCUCGCUCAUAACCUCUGGUACACACACGGCAUUGGAAAACUGGUAUUUCCGGAACCUGAUCCCCCCCACCCCCCCACCCCCCGCCAACUCUCCCCAACAGAUAAAUGCGGUUUUGUUCAUAUUUUCUGUGCUCACACACUGCUUUCAUAGCGUCCCUACAGUCCAUCCACACGCUUCAAUUAAGGUCUCAAUUAUUCUCGUUUCCCCACUCGUUCUCCAGCCUAAGCAGCAGAUCUGCUCUAUUUGCAUUCUAUUUGCACCAACACCAGCCAGUGAAGGGAUCCGCGUGUCCUUUAGAGGCGGCUCGGAAUGUGUCAGAGGCCCGCGCUGCAGUGGAACACAAUGGGAUGUGAGUACAGUCAAAGUUGUUGUGUGCAGCUUUGUUUAAAUCGUAUCAUGCGACCUCAGAAGACCUUCUUCCGCGGCGCUUUGUGUGCACUUAGUGGAGGACGUGCUGUUCAUGCAGUACAACGGCGCAGUCGUAUCUGUAACAUCAUUCUCGAAUGUAAAUUACACUCCAGUGAGCUCAUUACGAUGUCCCAUUUGUAGUGGGUGUCAUAAGUUGUUCCAUUCUCAAUUUCGCACAAGCGGCAUAAGAUUAUUUGAUGGGAUAUAAAUGUACGAACGUUUCAGCUGCAUUGAUAAAUAUAUUCAAAGUUGAUUUUUAUAUUAAGGCAAAAGACCUGUGAUUUAUAGUACGCGUUCAGUGCUAAGUAAAAGGAAAUGCUAUGCAAUGAGGGGAUUUACGCACCAGAGACUGAUUCAAGGUUGCAGUGAAAUACUCCUUGAAAUGAAGAUUCAUUUACAGUGUUUGUGUCUCCUCGUCCUUCGCCUCCUGUCCCGUCCGUCCCCUGAGCUGCCAUUGGAGACACAUGCUUGGGUCGGUGUCCCCGUGUUGGCAUCGGGUGUUUGGGUUCAUGCCCAGCAGUUACAUUGUGCUGGAGACAAAAUGACCACAGGGAAAGAUGCACUCAGGACAGGGCCAAGACCCCCCCCUCAGGGACCACACAUACAGUGCAUGAGCACCAGCAAGACGCAGAAGAAAAGUUAGGCCUUAAUGGUUUACCCGGGAAGCUGCAUUUAAAGGCAACUAUUUGCUGAAAGUGUGAAUAAAGUGAGCUUGAAAUGAGCUUGAAACCCCCCCCCCCGUCUGCGUUGUGUUACACAUGCCCCGCAAUGCAAAGUGAACGAAUGGAUGCUCCCCAAUUACUUCACUGCUCAGGAUGAGAAAAAAAGAAAAAAGGAGAAUAUGGAUUGCAUUUUUUCAAGCGUGACAUCAAGGCACAGCUGCAAACUGCACCUGUGGCAGACGAGGAGGAAUGAACGGAGCUGCAGAUCUCUCCGUGUACCAGCGGAGCCCUUAAUAUCUGCCAGGGCCGUAGGCAGGAACACAGCAAUGCCCCCCCCCCUAAAACAUUCAUCAAACAGACAUCGGAGGAAUGUUAGAAAACUGCUAGAUGUUGUUUUUUAUAACUUAUUAUCAUCUAAAGUGAAAUACACUGAGUAAGGGGGGGGGGGUCGUUUGAGCACCACAUUUAUUUAUUCAAUCCAACCAUUUUUAUAAAUUAAACCACUCGGUGGAUGACUGAGAAUCACACAUAAACGCAUUAAUGGUUAAGUUUAAUCAAACAAAACUAUAUUGGACAUGUUUGUUACAGUUUGUUUUGGAUUGAGCCCCACAGCCAGAGAAGAGACCCCCCCCCCCCCAUCGGUAUCAGAUUAAAUAAACACCAACGUGUCCCAUCUCCAUCAACUGCAAGUCCCUCCC
ensembl:lncRNA